rnacentral:rRNA from 1 species
GUAGGUGGCGAGCGUUAUCCGGAUUUAUUGGGCGUAAAGCGUGCGCAGGCGGUUUGUUAAGUCUAAAAUAAAAGCCCGAAGCUUAACUUCGGUUCGUUUUAGAAACUGGCAGACUCGAGUAUGGUAGAGGCAAAUGGAAUUUCUAGUGUAGCGGUAAAAUGCGUAGAUAUUAGAAGGAACACCAGUGGCGAAGGCGAUUUGCUGGGCCAUAACUGACGCUCAUGCACGAAAGCGUGGGGAGCAAA